rnacentral:rRNA from 1 species
ACUCCUACGGGAGGCAGCAGUGAGGAAUAUUGGACAAUGGAGGCAACUCUGAUCCAGCCAUGCCGCGUGCAGGAAGACUGCCCUAUGGGUUGUAAACUGCUUUUAUACAGGAAGAAACACCUCUACGUGUAGAGAUUUGACGGGUACUGUAAGAAUAAGGAUCGGCUAACUCCGUGCCAGCAGCCGCGGUAAUACGGAGGAUCCAAGCGUUAUCCGGAAUCAUUGGGUUUAAAGGGGUCCGUAGGUGGAUAAUUAAGUCAGAGGUGAAAUCCUGCAGCUUAACUGUAGAAUUGCCUUUGAUACUGGUUGUCUUGAGUUAUUAUGAAGUGGUUAGAAUAUGUAGUGUAGCGGUGAAAUGCAUAGAUAUUACAUAGAAUACCAAUUGCGAAGGCAGAUCACUAAUAAUAUACUGACACUGAUGGACGAAAGCGUGGGGAGCGAACAGGAUUAGAUACCCUGGUAGGAUAGCG